CAUCCCGGGGAAUCUAAAGUGUCAUUUCCUCUCUGGAAGAAAGGAAGCACAAAACAUGCUAGGUUUCACUGACUUCAAUCAAUCAAUAUUGACAUAGAACUUAAGAUUUGGAACCUUAUCUUCUGAUCUGAUAAUUUUUCAUUUGAUGAGGAAAGGCGUUAAGCCCUGACAGUCUAUGCAUCCCCCAGAACAUGGGCUGAUUUUACGUGCACAAAAAGUGG